CUACGGGAUGCUGCAGUGAGGAAUAUUGCACAAUGGAGGAAACUCUGAUGCAGCAACGCCGCGUGGAGGAUGACGCAUUUCGGUGUGUAAACUCCUUUUAUAUGUCAAGAAAAUGACGGUAGCAUAUGAAUAAGCACCGGCUAACUCCGUGCCAGCAGCCGCGGUAAUACGGAGGGUGCAAGCGUUACUCGGAAUCACUGGGCGUAAAGGACGCGUAGGCGGGAUAUCAAGUCAGGUGUGAAAUCCUACAGCUUAACUGUAGAACUGCACUUGAAACUGGUAACCUAGAGUAUGGGAGGGGGAGAUGGAAUUAGUGGUGUAGGGGUAAUAUCCGUAGAUAUCACUAGGAAUACCUAAAGCGAAGGCGAUCUCCUGGAACAUAACUGACGCUAAGGCGUGAAAGCGUGGGGAGCAAACAGGAUUAGAUACCCCUGUAGUC
rnacentral:rRNA from 1 species